rnacentral:rRNA from 1 species
CACGGAGGGUGCAAGCGUUAUCCGGAUUUACUGGGUUUAAAGGGUGCGUAGGUGGGUUUGUAAGUCAGUGGUGAAAUCUCCGAGCUUAACUCGGAAACUGCCAUUGAUACUAUAGAUCUUGAAUUAUCUGGAGGUGAGCGGAAUAUGUCAUGUAGCGGUGAAAUGCUUAGAUAUGACAUAGAACACCAAUUGCGAAGGCAGCUCACUACGGAUUGAUUGACACUGAGGCACGAAAGCGUGGGGAUCAAACAGG